GUGAGUCAUCGAAUCUUUGAACGCACAUUGCGCCCUUUGGUAUUCCGAAGGGCAUGCCUGUUCGAGCGUCAUUAUCACCCCUCAAGCCCUCGGCUUGGUGUUGGACGGUUUGGUGGAGGCCCCCUCGGGGGUUCCUGCCCCUCCCAAAGACAAUGACGGCGGCCUCGUUGGACCCCCGGUACACCGAGUUCUUCACGGGACACGUAUCGGACACAUGGGUUUACGGGACACGGUCUGCCUCCCCUCAGGGAGAAUCUUUCUAAGGUUGACCUCGGAUCAGGUAGGGAUACCCGCUGAACU
rnacentral:misc_RNA from 1 species